AAUCACUUUCCUUUCCCUACCAGCUCCUCCUCCUCCUAAGCGAAGCCGGAAGCGCCGGACGUUGUUUCUCUUCUUACUUCUCCACUGCCGUAGCCGUUGCCCCGAACGUAACGGCCACCACCCUACCCCGCACUCACACUCACUCACUCUCGCUCGCUCGCUCCCAGACACACAGACAUACACGCCCUCACUGAGACUGCGCAGGCGCAGCUUCCGCUCUGCCCUCUGGGAAUUAGAGUCUUCUAGCCGCUCUCCUGGCCAUCGAGUGCUAAGAUCUUGGGUCCAUAAAGAACUACAAAUAUCGUGAGGCCAAGCGGUUCAGCGCCCACGGCAAGGAGGAAGAGGAAGGCAAUAGGAACGGGGGCGGAAAGGAACACAGUCACUCACGUUGCCUGCCGGGAGUUGUAGUUUUAACUGGAUUUCUUUCGUCGUCUUCCCGACUCUGGGGCCCAAGGGAAGGAGUAUGAGAGACCACAUUUCCUAGGAUGCCUUGCGGCCCGUCCAGUCUAACUUCCCCCUUAGGCGGAGGGAAGACUACGGGGAAGCUUGGUAAAAACAGUUAAAUGGAAGGGGUGUCGGAAGCGGAGGGUCUGAAGUUCACGACUCCUAGAAGGGGCGGUGAAUGAAAGGCUCUCGGUGAAGAAGGUCCAGAACCCUUCAGAUCAACUUACAAGAAGUUCAAUAUGUAAAACAGAUAAAUGUGCUUGUAAUGAGAAAGGAUGAGAGUUAUUCCAACCUGCCAGCACGUCAUACCCCCAUUCCCACCCUCACCUCAGGGAAGGCUCCAGGGAGUACUUUGAAAACCAUUGGAAAAAGUCAUCCCCUCUUAAAUGACAAAAUGCCAUGUCUGUAGUAUGCUGCAUUAAAAUUUCUACCUAUUCCAAUUA